UGAAGUUUUAUUAAAAGAAAAGGGUGAAAAGAACAAAGUUUUGUCCAUCUUUGUUCAUCAUAGCUGAAAGUUAGAGAAGAGAAAGGAGAGGAGAAAGCUCUUGAGUAUUCGGUCAUUAGGAGGAGGAAAAUUGAAGGCAGUUCGUGUGUGUGGAUCUCGUCAGCAUAUCGUCGCAAACAGGUAAUCCCCAACCAUAGUGGGCUUGGAGCUGUGAGGGAAUUCGGAGUGGCCACCCGUUCUGAAAGUUUGAUUUUCUUCUCGUGAACUGGACAUCCUUUUAUUUACGUUUGAAGUUUUUGGCCUUUUAAAUGUAAUAAGGCCACUUAAUUAUUUUUGAUGGUUUUAAUAUGUGUUACUAAGAUAGGUAAUACUUAUUUUAACUGUUGAAAUUGGAUAGCUUUAGGGCGCG